CGUGCACGCUGGCGGUAGGCCUAACACAUGCAAGUCGAACGGCAGCACAGUAAGAGCUUGCUAUUACGGGUGGAGAGUGGCGGACGGGUGAGGAAUACAUCGGAAUCUACUUUUUCGUGGGGGAUAACGUAGGGAAACUUACGCUAAUAACGCAUACGACCUACGGGUGAAAGCAGGGGAUCUUCGGACCUUGCGCGAUUGAAUGAGCCGAUGUCGGAUUAGCUAGUUGGCGGGGUAAAGGCCCACCAAGGCGACGAUCCGUAGCUGGUCUGAGAGGAUGAUCAGCCACACUGGAACUGAGACACGGUCCCGACUCCUACGGGAGGCAGCAGUGGGGAAUAUUGGACAAUGGGCGCAAGCGUGAUCUAGCCAUACCGCGUAGGUGAAGAAGGCCUUCGGGUUGUAGAGCCCUUUUGUUGUGAAAGAAAAGCAGCAGGUUAAUACCCCGCUGUUCUGACGGUACCCAAAGAAUAAGCACCGGCUAACUUCGUG
rnacentral:rRNA from 1 species